GACAGAGGGUGCAAACGUUGCUCGGAAUCACUGGGCGUAAAGGGCGCGUAGGCGGGGAUGUAAGUCGGGCGUGAAAUCCCCAGGCUCAACCUGGGAACUGCACUCGAAACUGCGUUUCUUGAGUAUCGGAGAGGAAAGCGGAAUUCCUGGUGUAGAGGUGAAAUUCGUAGAUAUCAGGAGGAACACCAGUGGCGAAGGCGGCUUUCUGGACGGUAACUGACGCUGAGGAGCGAAAGCGUGGGGAGCGAACAGG
rnacentral:rRNA from 1 species